CGGGAGGUUAGCAGCAGUGAGGGGCCUAUAGUUACAGAUCUGCCUGAAUACAAGGAGCCAGCACUGAGUGAACUGCUUCCACUUCAGUCACCCUAUUGGUGCAAUUUGCCUUAUACUGACAGCAGUGACUCCGAGUCUGAAACUGUGGAGGACAACCCCGAUGAAGAGUCAGAUUUUGAUUUGGAGAAGGAGCUGCAAAAAUUAGAGGAGUACUUGGAAGCGCAUACGAGCGACACUAUAAGCGAAGGGAU